CGUUCCACCGACCAUCUCUUCCCACCCCUCUCCUCUCCCUUCUCCCUGAUCGAGGGCUCGGGUCUCUCCCAUGGCGGAGUCACGAGACCCGGCGAGUUGUGCUCUCCCGCCCUCACCGGUCACGAGGGGAAGCGGGAGGACGCGGAGCGGUGGGCUUUCGCGGAUAUCCCGGCUUUGGAUGGAGGAGAGGCCCGGUAGCUUCACUCUGAGAGCGGGGUCGGCGGUUCUGGGUUUCAUCGUGGGAGAAAAUUAUGGUUUCGGUUAGGUUUAAAGCUUUUGUUCGUCGAGCUUGGUUGAUUAACCUCGUAGGACUGCAUGCUACCGAGAUUUUGGUUGCCGAGGCCGAUCAGGUGAUAUCUGACAGAAGACACAAGAACCUGAUGCGCCCCUGGCUGCUGGUUGGACGGUUGAUGGGAAGGCUGGUGCCGAGCAGCAACGACUUGUUGGACGAACUGAUGUCUCUGGUUUCAUUUCUUUUCAUGUCAUUUUUUGCCAUGGCCCCCGUGUGCCCCUCUUUUUUUCCUUUAGGUUUUGUGAUUUCAAGAUGUUUGUGGCCAUGAGAUGCGUAUCUUUCUGACCGACUCGAUCUCUUCCCACCUUUUCUUCUGUCCCUUAUUCUCGAUCAAGAACUCGGAGCUCUCUGCAAUGGCGGAGUCACGAAGCCCCGCAAGUUGUAUUCUCCCGCUGUCGCCAGUCAAGAGAGGAAGCAAGAGGACGCGGAGCCCAGCGAGGAUGAUGAUGCCCUGUUAACAGAGCGGGAGGCCACGGACGUGGCGGUGUCCGAUAGCCGAGCCGCCCAGAGAUCGUCGGUUCUGAUGUGGUCAGCAAAGCUUUUGUCCGCAUAGUGGGGAGCUGGCGGAACACCACUGAUGCAGCAGGCUAUUCGCCAUGGUUACCAGCAAAAAGGUAUGUUUCCACCAAACCUAAAACACAAUAUCCUAACCCUUUCAACAGCUAGUUUCAGCAGCCCCCUUCAAGAGGCAGCACUAGCCUAGGCUGGGAUCGGAGACCAGUAACUCUCUUCAGAGCUUCGCUUGCAAUUAGUGGUUAUGAUCACUGCAGUCAGAGUGCUCAAGUAAUUGAAACUCAAUCAUCUUACUUAUUACUGAUUUUAUCCUUGCCUCUACCGAUGGAUCUGUGAGCUACAACUAUGGACAACCACAUUUCCAAACUAUGGACCUCAAAUGCCUUAUCCACAUUCCACUUCCAUCAGAAUAACCUGGGUUAUUAUGAGCUGAGAUGAUAACCAAGCAGCAAGCCUGCAGUUCUAUGAGCUUUCAGCCAGAGCAAGCUCAUAGGCCUACUGGCAACAACCAAGUAGUCAUUCUGGUUGUGCUCUGCAUCAUACCUACAGUGAGACAUUUUAUGAUCGACCAUUUCAAGCAGUAUCUUGAUUAUAUGGGCCACCUAGAGCAAGACAGCCGGGAGAUCUUAUGUAUCAAGGCUUUUCAUGACCAUCUUAGGGAUCAAACACAACUGGUCAACAAUCAUGGCCAUUUGGUACUAGUGCACCUUUGCAGUCAGCAUAUCUCUAUAGUCAGAAAAUAUGCUUACUUCAGGAGCAAGAGAUGGAUACUCUCGACCAGCAUCUGCUGCUUACCCCCACUGUGGGAAAAUAGCCCUUGGUUACAGUCAAGCUGGACAAUCAGUGCUUUCUUGCACUUGACCGAGCUUGCAUUCUGCUGGUGGUGGUCAGUACUCUUCACAGCAGAGUUAUGGUGGUCCUGUCUCAAACUGUGUGUUAUGGAUACCAUGGGUUGGCAGGUAUGGAGUGCCUCCACCUGGAAACAGCCAACCAGUUUAUUUUUAGCAGCCAACUAACCAAUCAGGGUUCUACUAGUGGUCAAUGCCUCUCUUUGGAUACGUUGGUUAACCAGGGAGUGUAGAAUUAUUGCCAGAGUAACCUUCCUUGGCCUGAAUUUUCUUGGCCGCCUGCUUCUGAUCAGAUGUAUGGUAGUCAUUGGUGCCCUACUCAUGUCUCUUUGAAAUCUUGACUGCAGCUGCUCCAUUGACAUUCGAGUUGUCUUUUGCUGCUUGUUGGGGUUUAAGACCAUCUUUCAUUGUUGUUUCAUACGAUUUUUAGUAAUAUGAUGGGUUACUUCGAUAAAGCUUUUAGUCCUGCAAUAGUAAUAUUCUUCAUUUUUUGCAUGGGUAUUUUACA